rnacentral:rRNA from 1 species
UGGGGAAUAUUGCACAAUGGACGGAAGUUUGAUGCAGCGACGCCGCGUGGAGGGUGUAGGCCUUCGGGUUGUGAACUCCUUUUUCUCGCGAAAAAGGCACAGUUUUGGCUGUGUUGAUGGUAGUGGGGGAAGAAGCGCCGGCUAACUACGUGCCAGCAGCCGCGGUAAUACGUAGGGCGCGAGCGUUGUCCGGAUUUAUUGGGCGUAAAGAGCUCGUAGGUGGUUCGUCGCGUCUGUCGUGAAAGCCAGCAGCUUAACUGUUGGUCUGCGGUGGGUACGGGCGGGCUUGAGUGCGGUAGUGGUGGCUGGAAUUCCUGGUGUAGCGGUUGAAUGCGCAGAUAUCAGGAGGAACACCGAUGGCGAAGGCAGGUCACUGGGCCGUUACUGACACUGAGGAGCGAAAGCGUGGGGAGCGAACAGG